GCGAAGCGGCCAUUAACGACCUCGUUCGCUCUUCUCUCAGGUUCCGUAGGCACUUGCUCUUUCUUUGCAUCGUCCAGAUGCUGACCUGCAUUGCCUGCUCGAAGCAGCUAAGCGUCGCCACUGCGGCCUCCAGGAAUGUCGCCAGCGGCCCCGAAUCGCCGAUCCAUGAUCCGGAUGGCGAGGGCACGGGCAACGGCGCCGCUACUCCCAGCACCCGCCAGGCCAUCAAAGCUCUCACCUCUCAGAUUAGGGACAUGGCGUUGAAGGCGUCGGGGGCGUACCGGCACUGCAAGCCUUGCGCCGGCGCGUCCGGGGGGAGUCAGCGACUCCCCCACCAUCAUGUCGGCUACACGGACUCCGAAAUGGGAUCUGCGUCGGAUCGGUUCCACUAUGCGUAUCGGCGUGCCGGAAUGGGCUCGGGGUCUUCGCCGCCGGCGGCGCCGUCGGAGCGCGAGUUGGAUAUGCGGCUCAAGGCGAUCUCCAGCGCGGAGAGGACGCCGUCGGUGAGCGGACGGACGGAGGCCUCGUCGGAGGCGGCGUCGGCCUUCUUAGAGGACGGCCAAGAUGAGCCGAAGGAGUGGGUUGCACAGGUGGAACCGGGAGUCCUAAUCACCUUCCUCUCUCUCCCUCAGGGCGGCAACGAUCUCAAGAGGAUCCGUUUCCGCCGAGAGAUGUUUAACAAGUGGCAAGCACAGAGGUGGUGGGCUGAAAACUGUGACAAGGUCAUGGAGCUUUACAAUGUUCAAAGAGUCAAUCGACAAACCAUGCCACUUCCAAACCCGCAGAGAUCCGAGGAUGAGGUGAAAGAAGAAUGCCCAAUAUGCUCAAAGGACAGGCUUGCGACACCACCACUCGGCAAAGAACUGCUUCCUCACAAUCUCCACAGGCCAUUGAUGGGUGGCGGCGGGAUUGGGUACUCACCAUCUGAUUCUCUUGAACAACACCAAGGCUCCACAGACCAUAACCAUGGCCACCUGCACCAUGUGCGUCACUACUAUGACUCCGGUGGCCUUACUUCAACCCCAAAGCUUUCUAGCAUUAGUGGUGCAAAGACAGAAAUAUCCUCAAUGGAUGCUUCAGUUAGAACAUGUUCAUCACCUGAUGAGGUGGAACAGUCUGGUGAAAUCUCAGCAUCUAUCAGCAAUGCGAGCGAUCUAGAAAGAGAAUGGGUGGAAGAGGAUGAACCGGGUGUCUACAUCACAAUUCGCGAAUUGCCAGGAGGUAUCAGGGAACUCCGACGGGUUCGUUUCAGCCGAGAGAGGUUUGGUGAGAUGCACGCAAGGUUGUGGUGGGAGGAGAACCGUGCCAGGAUACAAGAGCAGUAUCUUUGACAAACAGGCAAGAAAACAAACACGACCGACAUGUUAUUUCUUUGAAAUCUUGAUGAUUCUUUGGGGCAUCUUUUCCGAGUUCUUCCUCAACAGAGUACUCUUUCUUCAUUCUCCCCAACUGCUAUCUAACAAUGAGUCACUCGAGACUCCUUGCCCUCGGAUCACGUUAUGUUAUCCUGAUCCGCAACCGUGUGACCUGAACCGUGUCGGGCAGUGGAUUCGCCUUUGCGAUGGAACCGUUUAGAUAAAAGGUCUCCGCGGGUGAGCGGAAACCGAACCGGAAGACGACGACCCGGCAACAGCGCGAUGCCGUGACGCGUCCAACAGCCAUCGAAGGGUCUCUACGCGUCGCGGCCUCGUUGGCUACAGGGCGUCUCAGUACCACGCGCAGCGGCACGAGCGACACGUGACUACUGACGGGCUUCUUCCGCACGAUGUCUUUCUACGCUACACGAUAGGUCCGGCGUCCGAUUUAUGGAGAUGGAACGCAAGACGUCGGAUCGUCCCCCGCACGGAAGAUACUGUGGGUCGGAUUCGGUGUUUUCAAAACGCAUGUUACCGCACGAGCUCAGCUGCCUUUUUUUUUUCUCACGGGGAAAAGUAGCCUUUCAGGUUUUAAAAUUACCAAAUACCCCUCGAAAAUUUUAAAUUUGUAUACUUCAUAUUUCUUAUUUCGGUGGUUGAAAAAAUAAGGAAAAGUAAUUGGUAUUA